CAGCAAGUUAAAGGUUUAAGCCCUCGAUAAUAGUGUAUUUGCAACAGCCAUAUUAAUCUCUUAAUCCAAUUGUACUUGUCUAUUGGUGACUGGUAAAGGUGGUCAGUUUUAAUUGAUUGAUAAUUGAGGGUAAGGAUCACAGCACAAAGUAAAGUUCCUAACAUUACUGUACAAUAAUUUAUCCAACUGUAACAAUGUGACAAAAAACAGGGUCACAUGAUAUUUUUUUCACACACUCACAAGAUAACAGUUAAUGCCCAGUUGUUUUCAUGUCCAUUUUAUAGUAAAUAAAAUUGACCAACAACAUUUUGAAUUUAGUUCUUAGCAAAUGCAUUAUAUGUGGGUUACAAAGUGGCUACAGAAGACAAUUAUUUGAGAGAGCCAAUGGUAUAAUAACCAAGAAUAUCUUGCAAGUUGGACAUGAGGCAAAACAGACAUACUUGAUGUUUAAUUCAGAGACUUUAUCCAGUUGAUGAACUGGUGGGUUACAAAGUGGCUACGGAAGACAAUUAUUAGAGAAUAUGUUGAAAGUUGCACAUGAAGCAAAACAGAAAUUCAGAGACUUUAUUCAGUUGAUAAACUAG